CUGUAGACUUAAACAUAGGAAAGAUGGCCAGUGUUGUGACACCUGUAUUUUACUGCAAAUACAAAAGAAUAACUGUAAAUAACUGUAAGCCAGUGCACGGCUAGUACAAUGAUCUGGCCGCCCACGGUAUGACUGAGGAUGUCCAUUUUCAGACCCUCCACAUUUGCUGAAAGCAGGAGCGAUCCCCUGGAAACCCUCCCAGAUACAGGUGGAGAAACAAUGGAGUCAUGGACCGAGUCUUUGAUCUCUAGCACAAAGACCUUAUGUCAACCCAUCAGCCAGGAAACACAGUUCUCAUGAAGUUCACACACUGAAGAGGAGAGCUGUGUGCUCCAUGAGAGACGGACAAGAUCAAUUGGUAACUUCCCUUGAGAAACAGAGGGGCCGGAAUGCAUGCCAGCUUGAGCCAGAGCCACAGCAAGGCCAGGCAGGCCCAUCAGCCACGAGCAUGGCUGUGUCAUGAGCAGAGGCAAACUCCCCCUGGGGCCUCUCACGUUUCUCAAUUUCUUUCAUGGGAGGCACAAACUGCCGUUUGUUUUAGAAUAUCUUUUCAAGUAUUUGCACUGCAAAACGACAAUGAAACAACAAGAACCAGCCAGAUAGACAUAAUGUCUUCAGAGCAAAGGGUAGAGGCAAGAAAAAAGGUGAAGGAAAAAGAAGGGGAGGGGAGGGCAGGGCAGGGGAGGGCAGGGGAUCUCGGCUCACUGCAACCUCCACUUCCCAGGUUCAAGCAAUUUUCCUGCCUCAGCCUCCUCAGUAGCUGGGAUUACAGGCGCCUGCCACCAGGCUCAGCAAAUUUUUGUAUUUUUAGUACAGAUGGGCUUUCACCACGUUGGCCAGGCUGGUCUCGAACUCCUGACCUCAAGUGAUCUGCCCACCUUGGCUUCCCAAAGUGCUGGGAUUACAGGCAUGAGCCACCGUGCCCGGCCCUGCGAGUCUGUUUUGAUUGGAUUUGUUUGACUUUAAACCCAUUCGGAAGAGUUUUCCUGGAAUUGCUACUCUCGGAGACAUGAGGCAAUGCUUACUCUGACUUUUGACGUUUUCAAGUGUACAGUUGAAAGUCAACAACAUGGGUGAAUGUGGCAACCCCUCCUUACAAAAUCAGAGACAGUCACUGCCAAGCCGCUUCGUGGAUUGUCAUUAGCUUCCAACGAGAAACAGGUGCACAAUCAAGGUCUAAAGAUAAAGAGGGUUAAGUGCAAGACAGCAGCCAUGACGUGUCGGUCCACGUACAGCCUGUCUGCCUGAGGGCUCAGUGAUCCAAAAAGACACUGCAGGUCAGCACUUCAGAGUGUCCGCAACAUCCGGGGUUACUUAACCCUGUGGCUUGACAAGCAGCAGAGAUUUGCAAACAAUGAUAGCUUCUGUGCCACUUCAGCCGAACACUGGCUCUGAAAACAGCCUCAGUAUCUGACAAGCUCUCAUUCCUGGGCUUGUGGCGUGGCUGUCCAUUGAGAGAGCCUAAGUAUAUCUUCAUGCCGAGGGGAUGGGAGCAUUUAUAUAAAUAAAUGUGUGCACUGAUUACAGCACUGCUGCCCAAGAGCUUGAUGGGCGAUGACGAUCCGAUUUCGCCAUGGCAGCUUAUGUUUACAGAACCCGGCUCCACUGCAGACAGGACAUCGAAUGUGUAACGCAGUAUUUAAAUGUCCACUGACAUUUACAGCUCGUGUCAGCCCAAGAGGGAAGAGGCGUUGGUGUCCCAGUCUGCCAAGGAGGGCUCCUGCUAUGGAAUGAAUGGUGUCACCCCGAAUCUCAUGUGUUGAAACCCUAAUGCCAAAUGGGAUGGUAUUUGGAGACGGAGCCUUUGGGAGAUGAUGAUGUUUACAUCAGGUCGUGAAGGUGGGAUCCUUAUGUUGGGAUUCGUGCCCUUGUAAGAAGAGACACCAGGGCACACAUGCUCCCUCGUGCUCCACCCCCCUCUCUCUGCCCUGCGAGACCAUCCGUAAACCAAGAAGAGGAACCUCUCAAGUACCCAACCAUGGUGCCACCUGGAUGUAAACAUUUCUGCCUCCAGUACUAUAGAGAAAUAAAUUUCUGUUAUUUAUGCCACCCCAUCUAUGGUCCAGUUAACCCUUAAACAACACAGGUUUGAAUUGCACGGGUCCACUCCUACGGGCAUUUUCUUCUACCUCUGCCACCCCGGAGCCAGCAAGACCAAUCCCUCCUCUCCGCUCUCAUCUUAGGCUACUCAAGGUGAAGACGAUAAGGAUGAAGACCUUCAUGACGAUCCACUCCCACUUCAGAAAUAGCAAAGAGCAGAACAUACUGAAAAUCAGCAACUCUGCGAUCCAUCAGAAAAUAGAGAUCACAAGACGAAAUGCUGCCUGAAGACUGGACAGACAGGUGGCAGAUUUUCACUCUUGUUGCCCAAGCUGGAGUAUAAUGGCGCAAUCUUGGCUCACUGAAACCUCCACCUCCAGGGUUCAAGUGAUUCUCCUGCCUCAGCCUCCUGAGUAGCUGGGAUUACAGGUGCCUGCCACCAUGCUCGGCUAAUUUUUUGUAUUUUUAGUAGAGAUGGGGUUUCGCCAUGUUGGCCAGGCUGGUCUCGCACUCCUGACCUCAGGUGAUCCACCCGCCUCAGCCUCCCAAGGUGCUGGGAUUACAGGCGUGAGCCACCGUGCCCGACCAGAUUUCAGUUUCUAUUAGCUUUCAACAACACUUUCGUGCAUGAGUGACGCUGGCGGCCAUGUACUCAGCCAUUCCAUCAAGGUUCCAAGCAGCAAAGCUGCAAAAUGGAUCUGACUCCUUCAGUGAAGAAGAGUCUCCCUGAAUGCAUUGGAAACACUCAUGAGAUGCUACUGAAGCAAGUAAGGGAAGCCUGACUGUGGACAUGCUCUCUGUCUCUUAGGCUCACAGUACUCCAACCACAGAAAUGAGAUGCCUCAAGGGAGGCAGAGGCAGAAAGAAGCCAUCACUAUAAACCAAGAAUAAAGCCAGCAGAGCUACAGUGAUGGCCUGUGUGCUGCAGGUGAGCAUCACCUUGUUGUAAGGCCACAGGCUUUCCUGGCCACCCUGCUCAGUUGGCCGCAUGGUGGGAGUCACUAGACUCAAGAUAGACCCAGCCAGACCAUCUGGUUAGAGCUACCCAAGGAAAAGCCAUUGUCAGCACAAAGUCACUGGAGUCUUAGAAUGCACAGCUGUGAUGGGCUGAUUCCUUCUCCCAAAUCCCUGUUAAAGCCCUAACGCCCAGGACCUCAGAAUGUCACCAUAUUUGGAGAUAGUCUUUAAAGAGGUGAUUAAGGUAAAACAAAGUCACCAGGGAGGGCCCUAAUCCGAGAAGACUGGGGUGCUUAUAAGAAGAGGAGAUGAGGCCGGGCGUGGUGGCUCACGCCUGUAAUCCCAGCACUUUGGGAGGCCGAGGUGGGUGGAUCACGAGGUCAGGAGAUCGAGACCAUCCUGGCUAACACGGUGAAACUCCAUCUCUACUAAAAAUAGAAAAAAUUAGCUAGGCAUGGUGGCACGCACCUGUAGUUCCAGUUACUCGGGAGGCUGAGGCAGGAAAAUCGCUUGAACCUGGGAGGUGGAGGUUGCAGUGAGCGAAGACUGUGCCACUACACUCCAGCCUGGGCAAGAGAGCGAGACUCCAUCUCACAAAAAAAAAAAAAAAAAAAGAGGAGGAGAUGAGGACACAGACACACAGAGUGACGACCCUGCGAGGACACAGUGAGAAGAUGGCAUCUACAAGCCUACGAGAGAGGCCUCAGGAGGAACCAGCCCUGCCUACACCUUGAUCUUGGACUUACAGCCUCCAGGAUUGUGGGAGAAUAAACGUCUGUUGUUUACAAGCCAUCCAGUCUAUGGUAUUCUGUGAUAGCAGCCUGAAAUGGACUAAGACACCUCAUAAGAAAAGGAGAUGAGGACACAGACACACACAUAGGGACAACCCUGUGAGGACACAGGGAGAAGAUGGCAUCUCCAAGCCCAGGAGAGAGGCCUCAGGAGGAACCAGCCCUGCCCAUACCUGGAUCUCAGACUUCCAGCCUCCAGGAGUGUGAGAGAAUCAAUGUCUGUUGUUUAUAAGUCACCCAGUCUAUAGUAUUCUGUGAUAGCAGCCUGAGAUGGACUAAGACACCUCAUAAGAGGAGAUGAGGACACAGACACACACAGAGGGGCGACCCUAUGAGGACACAGGGAGAAGACGGUGUCUACAAGCCCAGCAGAGAGGUCUCAGGAAGAACCAGCCCUGCCCACACUUUGAUCUCACAGACUUCCAGCCUCCAGGACUGUGGGAAAAUAAGUCUGCUGUUUAAGCGGCCCAGCCUGUAGUAUUUUGUCAUGGCAGCCGUAGGUGACUAAUACAACAGGUGUUUCAUCCCGUUCCUUUCCUCAGGUGGUGUUGCAGAGUACCCCAGCAUCUUUAGGUGGUGGUAGAAGAGACGCCAGCAUCUGCCAUAACAUCCGGAAGAGGGUUCUGUAUGUUACACUGUGGGGAGGUUUGCCUCCAAGCAUUAGAGUGAUCUGAACAAUGGGAAUCUUUGCACAGAGGACGGUGAGUUCUACUCGGGGAUGGUACCUACUAAGACAGACAUGUUGUCUUCUCUUCAAUUGCCCUUUAACGAAGAAAUAAAAAUUAUUUAAUUAUUCGGUGAAGAAAUACAAAGAGUAUUGCAUUCUUUCAACAGAGAUUCUGCACUUGUACUCCCAGGUAUUUAUGAAACCUCACGUUGAUGCCUGGUGCAUAGGCCAGGCAGUGGGGCUGUACCUAAGUAAUGCCUGGUGGUUGGCCAUGGGUAGCUGGAGCACCAAUAGCAUACUCUAAUAGUCCAUGACAUCGGUCUACUCAAGGGCCGUGGCUCAAAUAGAAGGCUUUGGUUGGAGGAAUUCAAAAGAGGUUCUACUGAGAAGGAACCUAUGAAUCAGAGCUGCCACAAUACUUUUGGAUUGUGCGGUUCAAACGCCAUAUUGGUUUUCUUCCAGCUCUCCAGCUCCAGCAGCACUGAGGCAGAUCUGAGUUUCUCGAAGCUGGGCCCAUCACCAGCAAGAUAGUGAUGGUGAAAGCAAUGAUAGAAGAGGUCUAAUUUAGAGUAAGGAUCAGGAUGGACAGGUGGGUACAUCUAUGCAACCCUAACCUUUCUAAAACUACCUAGGCAUAGAUAUUUUCCUGAAGACUAGUCUCAGCCUGCCUGGAUGGUCCCUCAUGGCUACUGUCUGAUUUGAAAAGUAAACCUAUGAAAAGUGGAAAACACUAUGAUAUCCACCACUGUUUUGUCACACCAAUUCUUGACAUUAAAUCUCUCGAAGGACAUUAGUAUGACAUUCAAAUCCUAGCCCCCAGGAAAGCUUCACUUUAGUUUUUUGUUUCCUGGGUGUCCCUUCCUACAACCCACUAAGCAAAUGCCACACACCCUCCUUACAUGCAUAAAACAGUGCUGAUAAUGGAUGAAACACACAAGUAUCAGCUCAUGCCUGCACUUUCAGAGAAAACACUCUUGCUUAGACCAUGGGUAUGUCAAGCUGCCAAGGAUACAAAAGGUAAAACAAUCCAAGGGCAACAGAUGGUUCAUGACAAAGAACUAAGAGGGCAGCACUGCGAUUCCAAAAAUUUGGAUAUGGACGUCAAUGAGAGUGAAUGAGAGAGAAGG